UACAGAGGGUGCGAGCGUUAAUCGGAAUUACUGGGCGUAAAGCGCGCGUAGGCGGUUUUGCAAGUCGGGUGUGAAAUCCCCAGGCUUAACCUGGGAACUGCAUUCGAGACUGCAUUACUAGAGUAUGGGAGAGGGAAGUGGAAUUUCCGGUGUAGCGGUGAAAUGCGCAGAUAUCAGGAGGAACACCGGUGGCGAAGGCGCCACUCUGGGCCGGCACUGACGCUGAGGAGCGAAAGCGUGGGUAGCAAACAGG
rnacentral:rRNA from 1 species